UACGGAGGGGGGCUAGCGUUGUUCGGAAUUACUGGGCGUAAAGCGCACGUAGGCGGCUUUGCAAGUCAGAGGUGAAAGCCCGGGGGCUCAACCCCCGGAAUUGCCUUUAAAACUGCAUCGCUAGAAUUGUGGAGAGGUAAGUGGAAUUCCGAGUGUAGAGGUGAAAUUCGUAGAUAUUCGGAAGAACGCCAGUGGCGAAAGGCGACUCGCUGGACAAGUAUUGACGCUGAGGGUGCGAAAACGUGGGGG
rnacentral:rRNA from 1 species